UGUAAUCUGCAUAUAGAUGAAUAUAACAGUCUGAACAGAUUUGAGGAAGAUCAUUAGUAAAUAAAGAAAAUAGGAGAGGCCCUAAGGAAGAGCCUUGAGGGACACCUUUCUCCAUUAUUAAGGACUGUGAUACACAACCAUGAAAAGAGACACGCUGAUGUCUACAUCAACAACAUUUAGAAAAUUGUGAGCUACAAAUAGAGGAAAAGUGUUGAUUAAAAGCAUUGGCAACCGCGGAAGGAUCACUAAUAAUAUCAUUAUUAACU